ensembl:lncRNA
AGACGGCAGUCUUUGGAGGUAGACAGGGAGUCGGCAGUCUUUGGAGGUAGACAGGGAGACGGCAGUCUUUGGAGGUAGACAGGGAGACGGCAGCCUUUGGAGGCAGGGAGACGGCAGCCUUUGGAGGUAGACAGGGAGACGGCAGUCUUUGGAGGCAGGGAGACGGCAGCCUUUAGGGGCAGGGAGACGGCAGCCUUUGGAGGUAGACAGGGAGACGGCAGCCUUUGGAGGCAGGGAGACGGCAGACUUUGGAGGUAGACAGGAGACGGCAGCCUUUGGAGGCAGGAAGACGGCAGCCUUUGGAGGCAGGGAGACGGCAGCCUUUGGAGGCAGGGAGACGGCAGCCUUUAGAGGCAGGGAGACGGCAGCCUUUGGAGGUAGACAGGGAGACGGCAGUCUUUGGAGGUAGACAGGGAGACGGCAGCCUUUGGAGGCAGGGAGACGGCAGCCUUUGGAGGCAGGAGACGGCAGCCUUUGGAGGUAGACAGGGAGACAGCAGCCUUUGGAGGCAGGGAGAUGGCAGCCUUUGGAGGCAGGAAGACGGCAGCCUUUGGAGGCAGGGAGACGGCAGCCUUUGGAGGCAGGGAGACGGCAGCCUUUGGAGGCAGGGAGACGGCAGCCUUUAGAGGCAGGGAGACAGCACUGAGCACGAACUCGUGAUGCUCGAAGCCGAAGCGAGCUGCUCAGACCACUGCGCUAUGGCAGUUCACAAUGCUCUAGCAAGCCCUGACAAUACUUGAUGGUCUGAGGUCGGUUGAUUUGCAGAGUCUUCCCCCAACCACAGCCCCCUAGGUACGGUACUGCAUUGUAUAGCCUGCAACCACCGCUUCCAGCUUCCCCCUGGGUACGGUACUGCAUUGUAUAGCCUGCAACCACUGCUUCCAGCUUCCCCCUGGGUACGGUACUGCAUUGUAUAGCCUGCAACCACCCCUUCUAGCUUCCCC